GACGUAGGUGACAAGCGUUGUCCGGAUUUACUGGGCGUAAAGAGCGCGCAGGCGGUCGAUCAAGUCGAGUGUGAAAGCCCCCGGCUCAACUGGGGAGGGUCAUUCGAUACUGAUCGACUUGAAGGCAGGAGAGGGAAGCGGAAUUCCCGGUGUAGUGGUGAAAUGCGCAGAUAUCGGGAAGAACACCGGUGGCGAAGGCGGUCUGCUGGGGUAAUGCUGACACUGAUGCGCGACAGCGUGGGGAGCAACAGG
rnacentral:rRNA from 1 species